rnacentral:rRNA from 1 species
UUAGUAACGGCGAGUGAAGCGGCAAAAGCUCAAAUUUGAAAUCUGGCACCUUCGGUGUCCGAGUUGUAAUUUGAAGAAGCUACUUUGGGGCUAGUCCUUGUCUAUGUUCCUUGGAACAGGACGUCAUGGAGGGUGAGAAUCCCGUAUGGCGAGGAGUCUAGUCCUAUGUAAAGUGCUUUCGACGAGUCGAGUUGUUUGGGAAUGCAGCUCUAAGUGGGUGGUAAAUUCCAUCUAAAGCUAAAUAUUGGCGAGAGACCGAUAGCGAACAAGUACAGUGAUGGAAAGAUGAAAAGAACUUUGAAAAGAGAGUGAAAAAGUACGUGAAAUUGUUGAAAGGGAAGGGCAUUUGAUCAGACAUGGUGUUUUGCGACCCUCGCUCCUUGUGGGUGGGGAUCUCGCAGCUCACUGGGCCAACAUCAGUUUUGGCGGUAGGAUAAAUCUUUGGGAACGUGGCUUGUCUU